UUGCUUUGGUAGCACAUAUACUAAAACUGGAGCAAUAAAGACAUGAAUAUGGCCCCUGUGCAAGGAUGACAUGCAAAUUUGUGAAAUGUUUCAUAUUUUU
ensembl:snRNA U6 U6 spliceosomal RNA